rnacentral:misc_RNA from 1 species
AGUGAAAGUGAUUCGCAUUAUAUUUAUGUGAAAUAAUAGUGUUGCGUUUUUGCGGAAAAAACAGGAACUAACGUUGAAAAUAGGUAUAGCUAUCUAGAGUAAGACUUUAGUCUAUGUCCUCCCUCUUGCUUUGAAACAGGAAUACGUGUGGACACCUGUGCGUACGGCAAGCAGCAACCGUCUGUAUACGUGAGAGUGCAUGCGUGGGUGUUGUAGCAGGCGUUUCUUUAUCAAUAGAGAAAUGGUGCUCCCGCCUUGAGUGUUUCUUGAAUCGACGAGUGUGAAUUUCUCAGUGAAAACUUGUGUUGGAAUUGAGUAAAAAAAAUUAGUGUUAUUAAAUGUAACCUGAAAAGCGUAUCUACCGUUUGUCGGAAUUGAAUGUACAACUCGAUUGAUGAUACAUGCACGCCAAACGUCAAAGGAAGGGAAAGAUAACAAAAACAUCUGUAUUAUUAACAUAAUAGAUACAUAAAAAUGAAAAAUAAUCGCGUCUUAAUAAUCAUAGAAAUUAUAAUAGAGGGUUUACUACCGGAAGCGUCAUGCUACUUCGUUUAACCGUUGAAGAUCUGUGAAAAUCUCUCUCAUGCGAUAUCAUUUUUAUUCGAUUUCAGAGACCAAAAACUAUAUAUAUGAGAAAUUAUACAUGAGUUAGUUACUCUGACUGUUCAUCCGUUUGCCUGGUCGUCCACCCCUUCCAAACCGUCCUGACACAACGUUUAACGGGUGUAUAAAAAGAAUAAACAUGAUGGCGGCGUGAGAGAGAUAGAUAAGUGAGCAAGAGAAGGGAGAAGAGAGAGAAAGAGAGAAAGAAAGAAAGAAAGAAAGAAAGAAAGAAAGAAAGAAAGAGAAGUCAGCCAGCCAGCCAGCUAGAACCAGCCAACCAGUCAGUGUGCCAGAAGCGACGAACUUUGUUUCGUGCUAUCUUUGUCUCAAUGAAAAAAAUUUAUCGUUCCUGAAUAUCCAUCUAUUUUUUUGCAUUUAUUCGCCUUUAUAAAAUCAAAUAAAUCGAGGAGAAUAAUAAGUUUUUAUAAUUAAUGCUGAGAGAACGUUUCGCUUGUAAACAGUUAUCAAGGUGCGGCCACGUUCAUCGUGUUCGCGGUGUUUGCUUCGAUUUUCAUGCAUGCGGGGUCCACGACCGAGCGUGUGAGAAAUUCAGCAUAUCGUCUGGUAACACGGUGGCUUGAUUUCGAUUUUCUAGUGUUUUCGUAGAUGAUAAAAUGAUAUUUCACAGCCGGAAAUAUAUGAUUCGAUGUCACUGAUAACAAGCGUUCAUUGAAUUAUAACAGGAAACUUUGUUUGAAUUAAUAUAAUGUGAAUGAUUUAAAAACAAAACUUAAAAACACAGGAAAUGCGGUGUUGAUGCAUGUAAAUAAAACACGUGAUUAGAUGAAUAACUGCCCGAGAAGACUUAAGAAGUUGCUCUUUUUUAAUUAGAAUUCAUCACAUAAGGAAAUUCUGCAUUUAAAAUUCAUCGAAUUGAAUUGAAUUCAUAGCUACUAAUAGAAUCGAAAAAGCAUUUGUAACAAUUAAAUAAUUCUCCAUCGAUUAUUAAUUGUUAUUUGAUCCAAAACGAUUUAUUUUUGAAUAUUUUUCAUGGCAAAUAGAUCGAAUCGAAUCGUAUAUGGCUAUUUUGAUUAACGGUAAUUACGCUCCAAGAGAGGUGAAUUUCGUUGAGUGUAAAAAUCUAUUAUAUGAAGGACAACGACGCUAUUAUUUCGUCAAAGAUUGACAUCGAGACUUUUGUUCGAGAAAUUCAUCUGUUUAAGGGAAUAGGAUAUUCGAUGGAGCGAAAUCGUCCGUGUUGGCCGGCCUGGUGGCAAUAACCUCCAGUCAGAGGUGGCAGACAGUUUUCGCACGAUGCGUUUGCCCUCGUGCGCGAUAGAUUAUAAAAUUAGACGUUCGAAACUUCGUACGAAGGAAAAAGGAGCAAAAACACAUCGUUCUCAUGCGGUAAAGAAGGUGGAGACACUGACUGGUGAUAACGAAGGAAGGGUCAAGCGACGAAAGGAAUUAAUACAAGUCGGAUGAAUAAUUUCGAGGGUAGACAGCUGUGCAUAGUCAGAAGUGACGUCAGUCGCGUUGGGUUCAUAGUUCCUCUUAUUUUUCUCAUUCGGAGCUGCGUACAGACAUCGCGUGCGAAGGGGCGACAAUGAAAGCGGCAAAUAAGCGAAAAUAAAGAAAGAGCACGUUAAUGACCAAGCGAAAAUAAGAAAAAAAUACAAAGUCAAGUUUUCGAUGAACGAUAAUUAUCUCACUCGCACUCGUUACAGUGAAAAGAAUCAUCACAAUUUCUAGUCUGUUGCAUUUACAUCGAGAAAUCUUUUUUUUUUUCAUUUCUCGAUGAAAUAUUAUUAAAUCGAUUAUAUUUCAAACUGCACGUGCUAUGUAUCAUCGCCAUCGCGGAUCGAAACACGUUCGAUGCGCUCUUGUAACGAUGCGCAUUUAUCGAGCACGCAUCGCAGAUUGUUCGUAAUGCUUCGUCUUAGAAGAUUUGAUAAUUUCAUUAAAUAGUUAUCGUGCAAAGAUACACGAAAAAAAAAAAAAAAAAGAAAGAAAAGAAAAAAAUAACAUUUCAUAAUUCAGCAGUUUAUUUUAAACACUGAGAAUGAGACUGAAAUUCAAUUAUUAAAUCUUUUAGUCGAUUAAUUUAUUCGAGGCGGACGAGUUCGUUGAAAAGUAAUUACGGAAUCGGCAAGUUUGACCAAAUUUACUAAUACAUUAUAAAUAUUAUAUAGAGAUAUAAACUAAAUUCAUAUAAAUCUGCAAAUCCUUAGAACAAGAGAAAUCUGAAAUACGACAAGCAAUAAACGAUUGCUUUUAAAAUUAGGAUAUUAGUCUCAACGAACCAACAUGUUUUUUAUCCAAACGACAAUACAUCGUGACACGUUAGAACGAAUGAUAAUAGUUGAAAUUGCAAAAAAAGAAAGAUAUUAAAGGGAAAAAAGGGGGCGUUCGCGAUCGAUGCACUUCACCCUGUUGAAUUGUAUCUGUACGAGUAAUCAUCCAAUGAUUGGUUAUUUCGUUUUCUUUGAUACACGACCUAUCGGUCUGUCCGAGAAGAAACGACACACGCUUCAAUAUCAUCGUCAAAUGGACACAAAUGACUAGCUUAACAUUAUCUUCGAGCACGUUCGAGAUGCCCCGGUCUAGAUCAAAACUGUUCGUACCCGCGAACGCGAUCUCAACACAGACGUACAACACACCAUCAAGUGAGAACAAUCAUCUUCCACCCUUGAAGGGUAGCGCAUUGGCACUGAAGCAGCCUGCAAGUGAGUCGUCGCCUAGUUACUUGACCCGAACCAGUCACAUGGCCGGUACUCAUCUUCCGAGUUUAAGUUCCAGCGCCAACAACAGCUUGCUCAGCCUGACCGGGAACUCCGAUAGCUUGAACCUGAGCCUGAGUUCGCACACGAGCCACAACUCGAGUCACAACUCGAGCCAUAAUUCGAGCCACAAUUCGAGUCAUAAUUCGAGUCACAACAAUUCCAGUCAUAACUUCACUCAUAAUUCCAGUCAUAAUUUCAGUCACACCACCGCUCACGAGUCACAACACGCGCAGUCGAAUAGCCAAUCAAGCACCGCGUCAGUGGUGAAGAAUGGAUGUUCGAACGGAAGUUCCUGCGGCAGCGGUAUCCGCAAGCCGAAGACUAUCAUCGCCACACCGGACGUCGUGUUGAAGAUCUACGUGGACAAACUGACACCGUACGAGCACCACGAGAUUUUCAAUUAUCGGCAUAUAUAUUUUAUUGGGGCGAACGCGAAGAAGAGGCCGGGGAUAAUCGGUCGACCUCAUAACAAUGGCUACGACAACGAACAUGGUUCCUACAUCCACGUGACGCAUGAUCACGUGGCCUAUAGGUACGAGGUGUUGAAGGUGAUCGGUAAAGGUUCGUUCGGUCAGGUUGUAAAAGCGUACGAUCACAAAAAGCAGGAGCAUGUCGCCCUGAAGAUGGUGAGGAACGAGAAGAGGUUCCAUCGUCAGGCGCAGGAGGAAGUGAAGAUAUUGAGGAAGCUACGCGAACAGGAUAAGGACGACACGAUGAAUAUCAUUCAUAUGUUCGAUUCGUUCACGUUCCGUAACCACAUGUGCAUCACCUUCGAAUUACUCGGUAUUAAUCUGUACGAGUUGAUCAAGAAGAACAAGUUCCAGGGGUUCAGCAUGCAGCUUGUGAAGAAGUUCGCGCAUUCGCUGCUACAGUGCCUCGAUGUUCUCUACAAGAACAGGAUCAUACAUUGCGACAUGAAGCCGGAGAAUGUUCUCUUGAAGCAGCAGGGACGCAGUGGUAUCAAGGUGAUAGACUUUGGUUCGAGCUGCUACGAGAACCAACGCGUCUACACGUACAUUCAAAGUCGCUUCUAUCGCGCGCCAGAGGUGAUCCUGGGUGCAAAGUACGGUAUGCCAAUCGACAUGUGGAGCCUCGGUUGCAUCUUGGUGGAGCUGGUUACCGGUUUCCCGCUGCUGCCAGGCGAAGACGAGUCCGACCAGCUGGCCUGUAUCAUCGAGUUGCUAGGCAUGCCGCCGCCUCAGCUGUUAGAAUCCGCGAAACGGUGUAGGCAGUUCAUCAGCUCAAAGGGUUAUCCACGCUAUUGCACCGUUAUAACGAUGUCCGACGGUUCGAUCGUGUUGAACGGCGGUUUCUCCAGGAAAGGCAAAGACCGUGGCCCGCCCGGCUCCAGGGAUCUGAGGCAGGUAUUGAAAAAUUGCGACGAUCCAUAUUUCCUGGAUUUCAUUCAUCGCUGCCUGAAAUGGGACCCGGAACAGCGUAUGACACCUGGCAAAGCGUUGAAACACAGAUGGCUGCGCCGUAGAUUGCCAGAGCUUCCAAAGAAAACGAACGACGCUUUGCCCGCGUUACCGGCAGCCUCUGCGCCGCCUACCUCCGCUUCCGGCCUCCGUACUUCCGCGUCCGGUAGCAAAAGUUCGACCAAGUCGAACACGUUGCAGACCAACAAUACGGAGAACACGAACAAGGUGAAGCAGUUGAACGACAUCUUCCAUACCAUGUCUACCAUAUACUCGGCAUUGCAACGUAACGACGGUGGAAGAGGAAGAGGAAGAGAUCAAACGGUGGCAACCAAUCAUCAAGCGACCGUCAGCAGUCAUCCGUCGCUGAACUCUAUUAGUGGUGAUGCUAGUAGUGGUGGUGGUGGUGGUGGUGGUGACGGUAGUAGCAGUAGUACUAGUGGUAGUCAGCAGCAAUCGCAGCCACAGCAACAACAACAGCAGCAGCAACAACCACAACAACAGCAAGCUCAACAGCAACAGCAGCAACAGCAUAGUCAUCAAUUGCAAACGAAACAGCAGCACAAUAACGGUUCGCACGGAUCUCACGGGUCCCAUGGAUCCCAAGGAUCGCAUGGUUCUCAUGGAUCCCACGGAUCCAACGGAUGGAGCAUAUCGUUUCUCGAGUGGCUCGAGACGGUGGACAAUGAUUAGCAAGGACAUUAUCGAGCAACUGAGACGAUUCAUCGAAACACGAGAUCCCUCUUAUUACUUUUUUCUAACACGUUUACCGUGGUCGAUGUUGCCGUGAUCGCUGACCUCGUGUCUCGCUGAUUUGUCGGAUCAGAUCGACCGAUGUCUAUCUUCACGAUGUCGUCUUUCGACACGCGUUGUAUGUUUAGUAA